rnacentral:rRNA from 1 species
GAGUUUGAUCCUGGCUCAGAACGUACGCUGGCGGCACGCCUAACACAUGCAAGUCGAACGAAGUAGCAAUACUUAGUGGCAGACGGGUGAGUAACAUGUAGGUAUCUGCCCUUUGGCCUGGAAUAACACGAGGAAACUUGUGCUAAUACCGGAUAAGUCUUUACGGAGAAAGCUUUAUGCACCAUUGGAUGAGCCUGCACUUGAUUAGUUUGUUGGUGGGGUAAUGGCCUACCAAGACUGUGAUCAAUAGCUGAUUUGAGAGGAUGAUCAGCCACAUUGGGGCUGAGACACGGCCCAAACUCCUACGGGAGGCAGCAGUGGGGAAUCUUGCACAAUGGAGGAAACUCUGAUGCAGCGAUGCCGCGUGAGUGAAGAAGGCCCUUGGGUUGUAAAGCUCUUUCGUCGGGGAAGAAAAUGACUGUACCCGAAUAAGAAGGUCCGGCUAACUUCGUGCCAGCAGCCGCGGUAAUACGAAGGGACCUAGCGUAGUUCGGAAUUACUGGGCUUAAAGAGUUCGUAGGUGGUUGAAAAAGUUAGUGGUGAAAUCCCAGAGCUUAACUCUGGAACUGCCAUUAAAACUUUUCAGCUAGAGUAUGAUAGAGGAAAGCAGAAUUUCUAGUGUAGAGGUGAAAUUCGUAGAUAUUAGAAAGAAUACCA